ACUAUGCCAAGUCAUAAACCUUAACUUACACCACUACCGCCAGGGAACUACGAGCUAAGCUUAAAACCCAAAGGACUUGACGGUGCCCCACAUCCCCCUAGAGGAGCCUGUCCUAUAAUUGAUAACCCCCGCUAAACCUUACCACUUUUAGCCAAUCAGCCUGUAUACUUCCGUCGUCAGCUUACCACAUGAGUGUUACUUAGUAAGCCCAAGUGUUUAUUUACUAAAACGUCAGGUCAAGGUGCAGCAAAUAAAGUGGGAAGCGAUGGGCUACACUUUCUAAUAUAGAAAAUAACGAAAGACUAUGUGAAAUCUAAGUCAAAAGGUGGAUUUAGCAGUAAAAAGAAAUUAGAGUGUUCUUUUUAAUAUGGCACUGGGGCGUGUACACACCGC
rnacentral:rRNA from 1 species